UUAGUUUAACUUAGGCUUGAAUCCGUGGAAAUUUGAUGAUUUUAAUGUUUAUGAUAGUGUUUUUAUGUUACAAGCAAGUUUGAAUGAAGUAAUAAGAUGUAUCUGUGCAUUUGGUUGGUGUCCCGAGGGCUUCGGGGUGAUGUCGGAUGAUGAAACGAGAAUUUUUGAAGUUGCAACAGGUCUGUUGCAUGAAGCUCCUGAUAUUUCCGCAAAAGCGAAAGAAGCACCGCAAAAGCGGUAAGCGAUCGGAGAAGCGGUCAGGGAGUGCAUGAGGGGAUCAUAGAAGCUGUCAUCGGAUCGCGGAAGCAAGGACCGCAAAAGCGGUCUAAGACCACAGAAGCAGCCUAGUUGACUUAAAGAAAAACCGUGGAAGCGAUUUAUUGGCUGCAGAAGCGACAACCACAGAAGCGGUCAGGGUG
rnacentral:lncRNA from 1 species